rnacentral:rRNA from 1 species
CUAAGCAUCAGGUAACAUCAAAUCGUACCCCAAACCGACACAGGUGGUCAGGUAGAGAAUACCAAGGCGCUUGAGAGAACUCGGGUGAAGGAACUAGGCAAAAUGGUGCCGUAACUUCGGGAGAAGGCACGCUGAUAUGUAGGUGAAGCGACUUGCUCGUGGAGCUGAAAUCAGUCGAAGAUACCAGCUGGCUGCAACUGUUUAUUAAAAACACAGCACUGUGCAAACACGAAAGUGGACGUAUACGGUGUGACGCCUGCCCGGUGCCGGAAG